GCCGAUAUAGUUCAGUGGCAGAACAGCGGUUUCGUAAACCGUAAAUGGUAGUUCGAUUCUACCUAUCGGCU
rnacentral:tRNA from 2 species